rnacentral:lncRNA from 1 species
GUUUUUUACAACUCUAAAAAGAAGUAACAAUAGCCACUUCUAAAUGUACUGACAUGAAAGCCAAGCCCAAUCCAAAGUGAGCUCUUCAAUCACUCCUGAAAAGCCAAGCCCCUGGCUUAUUUUCUUAACAAGCUGAGUUUCUGCCCUCAUGGUCUCCCUCAGACAGAAUCUGAGGAAACCAACUUGUCACCGUAUAAGGCAAAAAAAAGGUUUCUCUUCCUGAGUUACAAAUAACUAGGGAAAGUCACACAUGCGGCCAAAGAAAGCAGAACUACAAUACAGAACUCCCUCACUGCUGACAGGCUAAAAUUAGUAGUUUAUUCAACUGCUCAGAACUACGCACUGUGCCUGUCCUGUGCAGCAUCUCCCUCUUUGCCUGCCCUGCUGUUUGCUCUCCACUUUGUCUCUCUUGCUGCUAAUUUGUCCCUCGGGGAGCAGCUCAGGAGCCACCACCGAGCCCCGCUGGUCCCAGGAGCCCGAGCAAAUGAAUAUCCACUUACAGCUACACCUGGGCAACUCUGCAGUGGCUCCCCUGAUUCCACCCCACGGCAGCACCUGAGAACAGCACCUGGCCCCACGGGACACUCGGUCUGCAAAAACCAUUAAGUGCUCUGUGCUUUCCAGCAAGCAUCUCUGCUGGUCCUGCUCUCACUCCCAUGCAGCACCUGUAAGCACAGUGCUGGGCAGACUGGCUUCAAACACAGAUUCACCCUCCAAUGACAAUUCCACAUUUGCAUCUGCUCAUUGUAUGAAGAGCAUCGUGGUAUUUGCAAUGACGGCAGAUAAAUUAUACAGGGAACAGAGGAACACUUGCUCAGUGCAGCUGGGCCACUGCUUAUGCAUGCUAGGGAUUGUUUUGAGUUUAGUUUGCCUUUUUUUUCCCUUUCCCCCCACUGCCCAGUUGUCUGUUACUGCCUGUGGAUCCUGCUGGCCAUGGAGCUCAGGACACAGACUUGGAGAAAACAGAGAGCAGGAGCUGGGUGCUGGUGGAAUGUGUUGCACUGGAACAUUUCCCUCUGAUGCUGGGCAGUUUCCUCCCCACUGGAAGUCCUGAAGGAGAAGGCAAAAGUGAGUGUGUCCUUCUGCACUGAAAUGUCCUGGUGAAGACAGAAGACUUUCAACACACCUUUGUGACUUAGGAGUGCUGAACAUAGAGAUUUAGAAACCAAAUCCCAUUUUAACAGUCAUCCCCACACCUCCAGGUCCAGCUUGGAAAGCUGCUCAGAAGGUGCCUCUGCACGUGCAAGCCUCUCAUCCUGCACAGCUUUUGAAAUUGGGAAUUUAAUGCUCUGGAAAGCAGAGAUCCUCUGGGUGUUGGAUGUAAUCUCCUGGAUGCUGUCCUCUGCUCCAAUGAAUGGCAAAAAAUAACAAUAAGCUCCUUUGCAGAGCAAGAUAUCUGAAAAGCAGGCCUAAACCCCAGAGUGUGAGCAAAGCCAGUGAGAAUUUGAGUUAUCCACAUGUGGAGAGAGGUGCAGGAACAUGGCAGCAGGAAACAUGAGCAGCAGAAGCCCCUGGCACCACACCAAAGAGGAGAGACCUGAGUCUCUGUGGCCAGAGACACUUUCAGUUCCCAGGGGUCACUUGAAAUGGAGCCUUUUGUCAUAUGAAGUUAAUUUAAUUAAUCUUGAAACAAUCCGAAGAAAAGUCACUGCCAGCUAUGUUGUUUUUAAAUAAGGAUUUCAAUGGGCCAAGAUUUAGCAUCCUUUAUAGACCCAUCUGCCUAAAGGCCUGUAUCUUAUCUGAUCAUUUCCAUGGCAACAGCUCUGGGAUUAGAAAAGGAUGAAUGUUUAGGAAUAGUUGCUGGAAUUUCAUGGAAGAUGAUGAAUUGAGGAUUACUUCACUACCUACGUGUUACCAUGGAAAUGUACAUUUACAAAUUGCACUGGAUUUAAACCCCCACCAUUAUUAGUAUAAAUUUGUGCUGCUUUCUGAAGGAGCUCCAGGAGCAGAAGGUGCCUCUCACCUCUCCAGCCCCACUGAGCACAGCAAUGAUUUUGGUGUCUGGGAAAGGAAAGGGAAACAAGUGGCAGGUCUUGGGCCCAAUUUCUCUUGUCAGACAAUCUCCUAAACGAAAUCCAGAUAGUCAAAAGGGUUAAAACUAAAAAAAUAAAAGUGUAUUUCACAUACA